GGGCCGGUAGCUCAGCCUGGAAGAGCGCCGCCCUUGCACGAGAGGCGGAGGUCCCGGGUUCAAAUCCCGGCCGGUCCACCA
rnacentral:tRNA from 1 species